UACGUAGGGUGCAAGCGUUAAUCGGAAUUACUGGGCGUAAAGCGUGCGCAGGCGGUGAUGUAAGACAGUUGUGAAAUCCCCGGGCUCAACCUGGGAAUGGCAAUGGAGACUGCAAGGCUAGAGUUUGGCAGAGGGGGGUAGAAUUCCACGUGUAGCAGUGAAAUGCGUAGAGAUGUGGAGGAACACCGAUGGCGAAGGCAGCCCCCCUGGGUCAAGAUUGACGCUCAUGCACGAAAGCGUGGGGAGCAAACAGG
rnacentral:rRNA from 1 species